ensembl:lncRNA novel transcript
CUGUUGGCAGGUCCCUCUUUUUAUUUUCGCUGAGAGCUUUCUUUUACUAAAUGCCACCAUCCUUACCUUUCAAGGUGUCUGCGUGCCUAAUUUUUCCUGGUUGUUAGACAAGAACCCGGAUUUUAGUUGAACUCUGGAGCAAAAAUCCUGCAUCAUUUGUAGGUCAACAACAAGAGGCCAGGACCUCCCAAGAAAAGCUUUACUAAUGUAAUAGCUUUGGCCAAGUCCACCCAAUAUAUUUUCCUCUCUGCAAAGAGAAACAAGCUAUUGUCUCAUCUUAGGUUUCAUCUUCUUCCAUGCCACUGUUAUUCAUGUUCAAAUCCUGGCUGUCCUUCAGGGUCCAAUUCAAAUGAUUAUCGCCAUUUUCUAUUAAUGUCAUUUCUUCCUAUUUUCUACCUUUUGUUAGCUAUGUUAAAGUGUUUCUUUACCAACAUCCCCCAUAUAUUGUGUAACACAGUGUCUAUGGCUUACUCAUUUUUGAAUCCUUAUCAUGACCUGACAUAAUGAAGAUUCUUAGUACAUAGUGAUACAUGUAAAUAUGAGUUAAUUAGUACAUGAUAGACUUGAUUUCCAGAAUGAUUUUGUAUAGUUGAAUUGUGUAGUAAGGGGACACAUGUGAAAUGAAGACUUUAGUCAGUAUCAAGAAGAUAUUUUGGGUGACUUCACAUAUCUGCCAAUGAUAAAUCUAGAAACAAUAGGUGCUUGGGUAGGUGAUUUCCUUUUGCCUUCUUUAUCAUUGUUUUCCCAGUAUUUCUUACAUUCAUCUAAUUUCAUUAGAUGCCCAUAUACUUUAUACUGGCUCUUCCUGUGAGGUUCGAACUGGUCCAGUCCAUUUGUUUUCAGAAUUGAUUCAUCUGGAGAGUCAUCUCCUAUCCUCCCAAACAAUGAUAUACCAGUCUGAGGACUGUGUAGAAGGGACUUCUCUUUCUACUCAGUAUGACCAAAAUAAUUCAAUUCUAGUUGUGGUGUGUGAUUUAUGAAUAUUUUGUCCUUUAGUUUGUGUGAGCCAAUUUUGUGCCAUAAGAAUUUUAGCCUCCUUUUCCACAAAAGAGUGAUUUAAUCAAACAAAAGUUGACAAUCAAUGUAGUACAUUUGUGUGACAGUGAUUAAACAUGGUGUUUUUCUCUUAGGUGUCUGAGUAGAUUUGGAAAUGCCCAUUCAGCCCUCAGAGCUCCUCUGCUUUAAGGGUGAUGGACUUCCUGUACCACUACGUAGUGCAUGAGUGCCAGCCACUGGUAUCUAGAACUGUGAUUAGUGAGGAAACACUAGGAGGAACAAACAACCCAACUCUUUUUAUCUAAUCUGUUGACUCCAAAGGGACCUUCUGCUUAUUCCAGUUAAAACUCAAGCUGCAAUUCAAAAUGAAAUCAGUAUCUUUUUUCUCUACUUUUCAGCAAAGCAAGAUGCUACCUUAUAAUUACCACGUAACAAUCAAUCGCAAACAUAGUGGCUUAAAGCAGCUCCUCUUUUAGCCUACAUAUCUGCAAACUGGCAGUCUGGACUGAGCUCAGCUGGAUGUUUUUUCUGAGCUGAUCAUGUAUGUAGGGUCUGCUGCUGGCUGGUUUAGACUGAUGGUGGAUGAGAAACCACAUGAAGAAGAGAGGCAUGAUGGUGGCAGAGUUCUGAAAGAGUCACACAGAAGGGCGUUGAGUUCGUGGCUUGAAAAUAGCAUCCUGUCACUUCUACCACAUUCUAUUUACCAGGCCAGCCCAGAUAAAGAUGUGAAGAAACAGACUCCAUCUCUUGAUGGGAGAAGUUGAAAAUCAAUGGAAAAUGGCAUGGAUAAGGAAAGGAGUGAUGAUUGUGGCCAUAUUUGUAAUGGCCAUAUUUGAUACCCUUUUCAGUUUUCCUAGCCACACUUCUCAUUGGCCAGGAAAAUUAAAUGCAUGUCAACACUGAAGAAAACAGAUCUUGGUUAAAAGCAAUGAUGUAGCUAAUAUCCCGUUCAGGUAAAAGAUUACUUAUAUAGUGUGAGACAGGCAUGAGGCAGAGAAGUGCUUACAGGUUGGUUUCUGCUUUGUUAGCAGAUUUACUUUUAGAUCAUAUACUACUUUGUUUUUACUGUUUUAUUGAGAAAAAAUAACAAAUAUUUCCAAAAUUUUGCAGCAUGCAACUCAGUGCUUCAGUUGGCAUUCAAUCAAAAUUUCCUUGAAAUAAAAAAAGACAAGAGAGAGACUUGGAAUUAUGACUCUUCUACUAGAUUAGCUCCUUCAUGUCAAAAUCUGUCAAGUUUAUGAUUUAUUCAGAUAGCACUUGUUUUUGGUGUAAUAACUAAACUGUUGCUUUAGAGUCUACUACAUUCUCCUCUAUUAUUUGGCAUUUUUCUCUUUAUUAUUUUGUUCAAGUAGGAUAUUGUGCUGAGUUGAACCAUGAAAUGAAUUGUAUUGAGCAACAUCAACAACAUAAAUAUUCUGGGGUGUCA